AACCCACAUAAGCAGGUGAAACUUCUUAGAGGAACUGGCGCCCGAAAAGGCGCACGAGAAAGAGCAAUAACAGGUCUGUGAUGCCCUAAGAUGUCCGGGGCCGCACGCGUGCUACAAUGACGAUGCUACUGAGCAUGAUUAACUUGUCCGAAAGGAUUGGUGAAACUGUUCAAUUAUCGUCGUGACUGGGAUUGAGGUUUGUAAUUAUCCCUCAUGAACCAGGAAUUCCUAGUAAGCACAAGUCAUAAGCUUGUGCUGAUUACGUCCCUGCCCUUUGUACACACCGCCCGUCGCUACUACCGAUUGAAUGGUUUAGCAAGGACAUUGGAUCGAGCCUCUGCGGUUCACGCUGCUUUGGUUUGAGAAGAUGUCCGAACUUGAUCAUUUAGAGGAAGUAAAAGUCGUAACAAGGUUUCCGUAGGUGAACCUGCGGAAGGAUCAUUAUCGAGUUCCAAAUAACAAACUGCGCAGUCUGCGGUGCGGGUCAGAAUCUGGAGUUGCGGAACUGAACCCUAGCCAAGGAUCGUGUCAGUCGGCCUUCACCUCGGGAGGCUUACGCCCUCCAAGUUGGCCACCUAUGGUACAGAAAUGUACGGUGCGGUCCUGUCAGUAACACUUCUUACCGGCAGCGGCUCGUGUCGUUCAUCCGCCGACCCACUGGAUCGGCCGUCUGGACUGUGCGAAUUGGUAACGUGUCGUGCAGUCUGGGCGGUCUGAUGAAACCCGUUCAGUGUUGGUCUGGUUCGUUGCAACCUUCUCCCUUCGGGUGAGUCCUGUUUGUGCUUUUCAUUCAUGUCCUUUGGUUGCAGAUGGUUUGAAGGUGCUGGAAGUAGCCACGUCUGUUCACGCAGUCUUGGUGAAAACGGUGCCCUCGCCU
rnacentral:rRNA from 1 species